GGGUUAAUAGUCUAGUGGUAUGAUUCCUGCUUUGGGAGCAGGAGGUCCUGGGUUCAAUUCCCAGUUGACCCC
rnacentral:tRNA from 2 species